UACAGAAAGAGAGAGUUAAAAGUAUACUAGGAGGUAAGCAUUUCAGCACCUUUCAACUAGUUUCUUGCUGCAGCUCAGGCAGGGUAGUACAGCACACAACCUUGGGCAGACAAUAUUUAUUAAUCUCUUCAUACUGAACACUUUAUCCCACUUUUCCAUCAUGCGUAGUCAACUACAAUAUAGGAGUUCAAAGGAAAUCAUGAUAAAACCGUAAUAAAAAGAAGCUACUUACAAAGCAGAACAACGCCAGAAAUGACAUUUUAAAAAUGCUGCAGUAGCAGAAUUAGCAAAAAGUCACACUUCAAUUUCAGCACAAGCCCAGAAAAAUAAUUUGACCUUCCAUUUGAGCCUAAAUGAUGAACAUGUAGGUGCCAAGCAGACAUUUGUGAGGAGUAGGAUGGCCGGGGGGGGGGGGGGGCUUGUGUAGCUCAAAUAGUUGCACAGAAGAUGGGAUGCCGACAGGUGUCACUGAACUCCCUCUUCUAUAGAAUUACUAAAGGUCAGUAAGUCCUGUCCUUUAUUUCAUCUGGCUACCCUAGUGGAGAGGUAGGGUGUCCCAAAGAUAUGAUGCUAACACAGAAAAGGCUCUGCCCCUGGUUGCCACCUUCCUAGCCUAUGAAAGCUGAGACAGGGCCUUGGAUGAUGAUGCAAACAGUGAUGGGGCAGAAGCACUCAUCUGACAUCCUGGCAGGUGAGUUGCAGCUGCAGGUAGAGGUGUCAAUGAGUUCAAUGUGGUACAAACACAUUAGUAGAGCUAAUUCACUGCUCUUUCCAGUGUUGUUUGCACCAUGCUGACCUUACUGUUGCCUCACCCCUUUCCCUCUCAGUAAGCAGCAACAAAUCACCUGCUGGGAGGUCAGGUAGGCAACUGUGCCCCAGCCUGCUAUCCUCUACUGGAUGGGAAUGGGCAGGUUAGUACAGGAGACAUCAUAUUUAUCAUAAUUAUAUCACUGUCUGCUUGGAAAUAUAAUUGUUUCUGAGCUCAGUUGUUCUGGCUCUGCACCAAAAUUGCUCUUGCAAUUUUGGGUGGGACUUCCAAGAUAACUUUAAAGUUGGAGAUAAAUAGUGGGUUGGGUGUGAGACGCAAAAUGCCCUUGCUGCUCUGGAAAAUUUACAGCAUUAUUUUCCUAAUUGAGCAUUUUAUAAUAGACAACAAGUUAUUUUCAUUCAAAGCAGUGCAUUAAGCAUAACCUCAUGUGUCCCCAUCAACAUGCCAAAUGGCAUCUCUACUUUUUGGAGGGAAGAGCAAGUCAGUAAAUAACAAUCUGGUAAAAGAAAACACACCCGAGGAUUUGUGUGUGUGUAUAAAACUUCCACUGAUGUUUAUUUCUGAAGCCUCAAAAUUUAAUUCAUCUGCUGAAUAAAUACCCUUCGGAUAUUUUAUCUAGUUGAUAUUCACGUCAGAGAGCAAUCCAUUUCCUUCUGUUCUUUUCUGCAGCAUCAGAAACAUAACUAGUGGCCAUUCUUUCACAUUCUGAUGGCUUAAGAUUUCUUUGUGGGAUGACAAGAGGAUGAAGACCCAGUGAGACAAGUUCACAUCAUGUUAGAGUGACUGUAAGGCGUUACGCUUUGCUAUCCACUUCAGUAUUGUCAUAGGCUAAGCUAAAGACCCAAAGUAAUUCUGAACAGUGGGACUUGGGUGGACAUGGGUCCUCUAUUUGAAAGGCUGUCAGAGGACAGUUUCCUCUUUGAAGAACAGAAGAAGAGCCUGCUGCCUCAGACCAGUGGCCCUUCUAGUCCACCAUCCUCUUCUCACAGUGGCCAGUCAGGCGCCUAUGGGCAGGGGCGAAGAAAGGCUAACUGACACCCGUGGUGGGGCAAACUGCCUGCUGCGCAUGUGUUGUGAUGCUACGUAUGACGCAUGUGUGGUGUAAUUACGUAUGACGCAUGCGUGGCAUUGCUACAUAGGGUGCAUGUGUGGCAUCGCUACGUACAGCGCAUGCAUGCAACACCGCGCAUGCGUUGCACAUAGUGGUUUGCAGCCAGCGCUGCCCAAGCGCUAUAUGGACAGUGGCGGGAUCCUCUGCUCACGGCGGCGGCAGAGGAAUCCUUCGCUUGCAGCUGUAGUGGUGAUGGAGGGAUCCCACUGCCGUCUGUACAGCAUUCAAGCAGCGCCAGUGGCAAAACGCUAUGUACAGCGCAAGUGUGAUGUCACUACGUACAGCGCAUGCGUUGUAUGUAGCAGUUUGCCACCAGCGCUGCUCAAACACUGUAUGGACAGUGGCGGGAUCCUUUGCUCAAGACUGCAGCCGCAAACGGAGGAUUCUCCACAUGCAGUUGCGGCAGUGAGAUGGCUGCUCGCACCACCGCACCCGGGGGUGUUGGGGCAAGCACCCCAUGGGGUGCCUUCUUGUUACCCCCCCAGACAUGGGACUCCGGGGUGCACUGCCCCCACCCCCUUGUGACGCCACUGCCUAUGGGAAGUCCACAAGCAGGACCUGAGUGCAACAUUACUCUUCCCUCCAGCAGUUUCCAGCCACGGCUAUUCAGAAGCAUCACUGCCUCUGACAAUGGAUGUAGGAAACAGCCAUUAGGAUCGGUAGCCAUUGAUAACUCGAUCCUCUGUGAAUUUGCCUAAUCCUCUUUUAGAGCCAUCCAAGUUGCUGGCCGCUGACUCCCACAGUUUGAUUAUCCUGAAUCAAUCCUGGCUUCAAAUGACAUGAAAGGAGAUUCUGAGUAAACAUCAGGAAUAACUUUCCGAUGGUAAGAGCUGUUCAACAGUGGG